UUUGAGAUGGGUUGUGAAAGAAAUACACAUUCUUUGAAAUUCUUGGGAUUAUAUGAUGUUAAACACUUAAAUUAAGGAUUUGAUGUUGAAAUUCUCCAUUUUCCUAAAGAAAUUUUCGGAUUAUGUAAUGAAGGUGCUAUUUUCGAAAUUUUCCCAGAAAAGUGUUAAUUCUGUCCAUAUUUUGGUGACAGUUUUCAAUAUACAGAAUUUGGUGUCGUAAUUCAAUAUUGUGGAACUUUAGUGCCGUUUUUGUCAAACAUUUGAUUUUCAGAUUCUAAAGGUUUGAAUGAAGAUAUAUGACAAAUGUUAAAGCCUAUGUAUUGGAAUUAUUUAUAGGGGUUGUGUAUAUACAAGCUAAGUUAUACCAUUUUUGUUAAACCCUAGAAUUUUAAUUAGAUUCUAGAGUAAAGGUAGUUUGGGAAAAUGAUAGUUAUCACGAAAUAUUCACUUGGAAGAAUGGUUUUAUGGAACAAAAUGUAAAUUUAAUUGGUUGAAUUAUGGUUAUUAGUUUUGCUAGAUUGGAAGAUGGGGUAGUUAUUCUCAUGAUUAGAAUAAAGGUUAUUGUGAGGAAUUAGCUUAAAGUGAUUAAGGGAAAUUGGGGGAAAAUUAUUCAAGUAUCGAGAAAUCAAGUUUUAGAUUCGAUCAUCAAUAUUUAGAACUACUACUUAGCAGGAUAGUGGUUAAAUUAGUUAUUUUACAUUGUCUUUCAGGUGGUGGCAAAGAGAUGGGAAAAACUUGUCGACCAUCAUAACCAGUAGCUUGUUUAGAGUGAGUGGAUAAAACUUAUUUUUCAGAAAUAAGUCUUCUUUAAAUUUUAAAGUUAUUUAUUUUAUAAAGUUGACUUCAUAGCAUUAUUUUCAGAAUAAAAUGGAUUUUAUUAUCAAUUGCUUUUAUAGUUAAAUUCAGUUCAGUUAAAUUAUUUUGAAAGCUUGUUAUAUUCUUAUUACAUGUUUCAGUACAGUUAAAGUUAUUUCUAAAAACCACCAGAAAGUACCCAGGUGAUUUUACCCCAGUUUGCACUGAUGUGAAUGUGUUUCCACAGUGUAUGAUUAGUUAUAGUGAUUUUACCCGCUCUGCACUAUCGUGAAUGUGUUUCCAUAGUGUAUGACCAGAAUAUCAGAGGUCUUUGGGACCCACUCUCGUACACACAUAGGCUUUGGGCCGUGUACUAAGGUGAUUAGCCUUUGGGGCAGCUCUGCGUACGUAUGACCAGAUUAUCAGCUAUCAGAUUAUCAGAUUUGAAUGUCUUUGCCUUGUACAUCGAGAUUACUCUAUGCAUGUGUAAGGCUAUUAAUUGGGUACUCUUUAUGGUGUGAUUUUUCAGAACUUAUUCAGUUCUUAGAUUUCAGAUUAUGGAAUUCAGUUUUCAGAAUAAAGCGUUCAGCUUCUAGUAUAGAGCAGCAGCAAUAUUUCAUAGAUUUUCAUGAAUAUCAGAUUCUUUAUAAUUGUUAUACCUUACAUAUACUUAUCUAGAAUUUAGAACAAAGAAUUUUAUGAUGAAAUUAUGUUUAGUUUUAAAAGUGUUACCAGAUUUUAGAAUUUUUCAAAGUUUUGAUAGAGCAAGAAUUUUCAAAAUAUAUGCAUAAAAGAAAAAUAUGUUUAUUUGUAAAUUAUCCACUCACUGAGCUUUAAGCUCAUAUAUUUUUUCACAUUUUUUCUUUAUCAGACAGAAAACAGACAAAUUGAGCAGUUUUGGAGCAUGUCGAACCACCGAAUUGAGCCAUGCGUCAUAGGUUGUAUGACAUCUUUUAUCGGAUUAUACAUUGUGUUCUUUUGGGAUACACAUAGGUUAAAUCAGAAAAGUUCAUUAUGGGCUCAUUAGAUAUUUGGUAUCUUUAGUACUUUUGAAGAUUAUUGGUUGUAAAGCAAGUAAAUAUUGAUUUCCUAGCAUUAUAUUUGAAUAGUUUGUAUUUUUGAGGGUCUGGUAUACCCUGAUUUAUAUUAUAGGUAUUGAUUUGAGAAAAAUUGGUUAUUGUUCAGGUAGUUUUAGUUUGUAUUUUAGAGGAAAUUUUGUCAAAAUUCUGUUAAAAAUAUUUUUCAGUCAAACAAGUCAAAGUUGCCUUGGUGGUGGGUCCGACGUUUAACUGGCAUCUACCACCGGCACACGACACGUGUCGAGUCAAUUAGGUUGAGUCGGGACGGAUCGUACACCCAUCAAGAUUACGCCGUCGACUUGGUUUUCAUCUCCAGCAAAUUUCGCUUGAUUGAACUAUGAAUAAGCCCAAGGUUUUCAGCUAUAUAACUAUUACUCUUGCAUAAACCCUAACCUCCUACCCAUUUUGCCGUCGUAGUUGUGACUCUCUCCGGCCGGCGUCGUUCAGCGGUUCCAUUGGGAGGCCAACAUCUUCAGACCUUAUCUCUAACCCAUUUUGCGAGUAAAGUUUAUUAUUUGUUUCAUAUCCUCUGCACAUUUCUUGGGAAGGUAUUUUUUUUAGGUUUUUAUAUAAUCUUCAUGUUCUUGAAAACCUGUUAAUCUGCAGCUUAUGGCAUGGUAUGCGAUGGAUUUUUUUGUUCCGAUUUAACUUUCAUUAUUGAAUUUUUCAUUAUUUUGAUAUGUACAGAAAAAUAGAGGCAUUUAUAACUUGUUGAAAUUGGUCUUAUCGAGUUUAGAUGGUAAAUUACUUUCAUAAUCUAUUUGUUUAGAAGUAUUAAAUCACUAUAUUUGGCUAGAGAAAGUGAAAUGAGAGCACAUUUAAAUUGUGAUUCAUAUGGUCUGUUUUUCUGGUGAUGAUAGUAUCCCAUUUCAAUUUUGAUGAUUUUCGGUUAUACCUGUAAGUGCAAGUAGAAGUCGUUGCUGGAAUGUUCUUUGAAUUUUGAUGAUUUUGAUGGAAUUGGUCCUAUCGAAUUUAGAAGUCAUUGCUGGAAUGUUCUUUGAAUGAUUUUCUGGUGAUGGAAUGUUCGUUGCUGGAAUGAUUUUCAUAUCAAUUUUGAUUAUUUUGAUGGUCUGUUGCUGGAAUGUUCUUUGAAUUCUACGUUGGAUGGUAGAAUUUAUUUGUUGGAUUCCUAUGGUGGUAUAGAAUGUUGCUUAAGUUUUUAUCGAGUUGUUUUUUCGGGAUCUCUAUUUCAUUUUAGUUUGUAAUGAAAUCCUCUAAAUAUAGUUUGCCGCAUAGGGAUGAGAGGAAGGAAUUAUGGUGUUUGUCACAGUUGUAGAAGCACAAAUUGCCAAGCAUGUUCGAACAUCUAGCUCAAAACGCCAAGAAAUGAAACUUCGAGAUUUCGUUGAACGUGACAUUCUGCAAAGGAAAAGAGCCCUCGAAUGAUAAUGGAGGUUGCAUUAUUUAUUUAUUUUUUGAUCGGUAAAUGUAAAUAUAUAGAUAAAAAAUGUACCAUGUACAAAUACACCGGGCAUACCCGGGCGAGACAAUGUCCAUAAUCAAAUACAAGUACACCGGGCAUAUCCGGGCGAAUCAAAAUCAAUGAUAAGUACAAGUACACCGGGCAUUCCCGGGCAAAUCAAAAUCCAAAAUCAAAACAACUACUCCGGGCAUAUCCGGGAGACACAAAGAAGGCAAAAUACAUAAGAGAUCAAUGAUCCACGGCCAAGGAUUCAAAAAGAAUCAAGACAUUCGGAUAUAAAGUAAACAUGACUUUGUAUACGUGUGUCUUGAUCCUUCUAACAAUAGAAUCCAAGUCGGCCGGGAGGUUUUCAAAAAUCUUCCUAUUCCUCGUAAGCCAUAUGUAGUAAACUGUGCUAGCAUAUGGUAUCAUGAGUAAAAUGCAAUAACUCUAGCAAGCACUGUCAGCAAUAACUCGGCAUUAAGAUGGAUUAGAAUACAAAUAUGGAACUCAAUUUUUAAGCAAGAAUAGAAAUGUCGAUUUUUAUCUACAGGAAAGGACAUUAACAUGAAAAGUUGAAAACUUGGUUACUUAUAAAAUCUGUGCAAGGAAUUUUUAUGAUCUGCCUAAAUUAUUCUAUGCAUCUUUCGGUGACACCUUAGCAGUCUAUCUCACAUUUUUCUAUCCAAUUACUCACAUAUGAAAUGCAUAUCGUGUAGAGCUCUUAAUUGCACAGCUCUUUCAAAUCCCCGACAUUUUCUUCAAGAAAGGAUUAAAGCAUUUAGAACCCAAUAAGAAUGGUGGGGGGGGGGCUAGUCAACAAGCAAUAACAUUACUUGACAUCCAACAAUAACUACACAUUACUUGCCAUCAACAAUAACUCAGCAUUACUUACCAUCAACAACAACUCACUAGUCACAAAAAGGAAUCUGUAAAAGAUUGGCAUGAAGUAUUUCACAAACAUUACUUACCAUCAACAAUAACUAGAUAUUAGAACAAUAAUUACCGUCAGCUAAAAAUGCUAAACUAGCCAAAUAUCAGCCCUUGACAAAGAAAUCAGGUCUUCUACGCGAACUAAAAAAUUAAAAACAGAAUACAUAACCAGCCAACACUUUUUCCUUCCUUUUUUUCGAGAAUCGGUGAGGGGGUGUCCCUUUUGUAGGAUGUAGGUGAAAUACAGAUUUGGCUAUUGCCGGAGUUGGGCAUCACCAUUUUCAUGGUCGAGGAGUGUGGGCUUCGAUUUCGGGGAAUGUCGAGCAGUGAGGGCUUCUAUUUCACCUUCACUGGAUUUCGGGAUUUCGUCUUCACCGGCGCUUAAUUUCACGAGUAGCUCCGGUGAGGUAGGCGGGCCGGCGAGGGUGGGGGAAUAUACUUUGACGGGACUUCUCUGGCUUCUCCACGUGAUGUGCUUUCCGCUUUCCCUUAUGUUUCGGAUUGGAUAUGUUUCGGAUUGGACGAUCAUUUCAAAGUCAAAGAAAUCUGCUCCCAAUUCGUCACCUGAGGAGCACGUUUUUCCUAAAAUUCAAACUUCUGCAAAUUUUCUGUCAGGCCAUUAUGUACAAGAGGCUGUAGUGAUAUUCUUAUGGUGAAAAAGACAAUAAAGAUAAACGUAAAGCAUAUAAAGUUUUUCCUUGAACCGUGAGAAAG
rnacentral:lncRNA from 1 species